UGUGCCUUCUGGACAGCAGGGAAAAAGGGCAAAGAUGCUGAACCACGACUGUUUCGGGAAAGAAGAAGGAACAUUCAUUCCACUGAAAUUGCCAAAGUCCAGGAAUUCCUGACUAGAAAGGACAUUAAGAACUGAUCCUGGUGAA